rnacentral:rRNA from 1 species
UACGUAGGGGGCGAGCGUUGUCCGGAUUUAUUGGGCGUAAAGAGCGCGUAGGCGGCCACACAAGUCGAUCGUGAAAGCUCGGGGCUCAACCCCGAGACUGCGGUCGAUACUGUGUGGCUAGAGGCUGGUAGGGGGGUGUGGAAUUCCCGGUGUAGCGGUGGAAUGCGCAGAUAUCGGGAGGAACACCGGUGGCGAAGGCGGCACCCUGGGCCAGUCCUGACGCUGAGGCGCGAAAGCGUGGGGAGCAAACAGGAUUAGAUACCCUGGUAGUCCACGCCGUAAACGAUGGGCGCUAGGUGUGGGGGGUCAUCGACUCCCUCCGUGCCGUAGCUAACGCAUUAAGCGCCCCGCCUGGGGAGUACGGCCGCAAGGCUAAA